CCUACGGGAGGCAGCAGUGAGGAAUAUUGGUCAAUGGACGAGAGUCUGAACCAGCCAAGUAGCGUGAAGGAUGACUGCCCUAUGGGUUGUAAACUUCUUUUAUAUGGGAAUAAAAUGUUCCACGUGUGGGAUUUUGUAUGUACCAUAUGAAUAAGGAUCGGCUAACUCCGUGCCAGCAGCCGCGGUAUACGGAGGAUCCGAGCGUUAUACGGAUUUAUUGGGUUUAAAGGGAGCGGAGGUGGAUUGUUAAGUCAGUUGUGAAAGUUUGCGGGUCAACCGUAAAAUUGCAGUUGAAACUGGCAGUCUUGAGUACAGUAGAGGUGGGCGGAAUUCGUGGUGUAGCGGUGAAAUGCUUAGAUAUCACGAAGAACUCCGAUUGCGAAGGCAGUUCACUGGACUGCAACUGACACUGAGGCUCGAAAGUGUGGGUAUCAAACAGGAUUAGAUACCCUUGUAGUC
rnacentral:rRNA from 1 species